CGUGGGUAACCUGCCUGUAAGACUGGGAUAACUCCGGGAAACCGGGGCUAAUACCGGAUGCUUGUUUGAACCGCAUGGUUCAAACAUAAAAGGUGGCUUCGGCUACCACUUACAGAUGGACCCGCGGCGCAUUAGCUAGUUGGUGAGGUAAUGGCUCACCAAGGCGACGAUGCGUAGCCGACCUGAGAGGGUGAUCGGCCACACUGGGACUGAGACACGGCCCAGACUCCUACGGGAGGCAGCAGUAGGGAAUCUUCCGCAAUGGACGAAAGUCUGACGGAGCAACGCCGCGUGAGUGAUGAAGGUUUUCGGAUCGUAAAGCUCUGUUGUUAGGGAAGAACAAGUACCGUUCGAAUAGGGCGGUACCUUGACGGUACCUAACCAGAAAGCCACGGCUAACUACGUGCCAGCAGCCGCGGUAAUACGUAGGUGGCAAGCGUUGUCCGGAAUUAUUGGGCGUAAAGGGCUCGCAGCGGUUUCUUAAGUCUGAUGUGAAAGCCCCCGGCUCAACCGGGGAAGGGUCAUUGGAAACUGGGGAACUUGAGUGCAGAAGAGGAGAGUGGAAUUCCACGUGUAGCGGUGAAAUGCGUAGAGAUGUGGAGGAACACCAGUGGCGAAGGCGACUCUCUGGUCUGUAACUGACGCUGAGGAGCGAAAGCGUGGGGAGCGAACAGGAUUAGAUACCCUGGUAGUCCACGCCGUAAACGAUGAGUGCUAAGUGUUAGGGGGUUUCCGCCCCUUAGUGCUGCAGCUAACGCAUUAAGCACUCCGCCUGGGGAGUACGGUCGCAAGACUGAAACUCAAAGGAAUUGACGGGGGCCCGCACAAGCGGUGGAGCAUGUGGUUUAAUUCGAAGCAACGCGAAGAACCUUACCAGGUCUUGACAUCCUCUGACAAUCCUAGAGAUAGGACGUCCCCUUCGGGGGCAGAGUGACAGGUGGUGCAUGGUUGUCGUCAGCUCGUGUCGUGAGAUGUUGGGUUAAGUCCCGCAACGAGCGCAACCCUUGAUCUUAGUUGCCAGCAUUCAGUUGGGCACUCUAAGGUGACUGCCGGUGACAAACCGGAGGAAGGUGGGGAUGACGUCAAAUCAUCAUGCCCCUUAUGACCUGGGCUACACACGUGCUACAAUGGACAGAACAAAGGGCAGCGAAACCGCGAGGUUAAGCCAAUCCCACAAAUCUGUUCUCAGUUCGGAUCGCAGUCUGCAACUCGACUGCGUGA
rnacentral:rRNA from 1 species